GUUGUCCUGCCUCUAGGCAUAUUUCUAUUGGUUGCCGGUGCCAUUAUCAUCUUUUGCUGUUACAAGUACAAGGCCUGGCGCCGGCGUGAACAUAAACAGGCAACUGAUCUAGCGAUGGUUCGAGUGGAGAAGCCAGUUGUUCAAAAACCUGUA